AUGAUACAGCUAUUGGCAAUGGCAACUCCAGUCCAGACAGCGAGCCAGAGGGGCCAAUACAUGAUUGCCAACAGACAGUGGAUGUCCUCCAUGCAGCUCGACCGGACCUCACCGACAUCCCUCUGCAGAACCCCGAGGAGGUGCUAUGUACGGAUGGCAGCGGUUUCAUGGUCGACAGAGUCAGGUAACCUCCCAGGUGCUCAGAGACUGAAAAAUUCAAGAAAGGAAGUCAGAAGUUGUUCAUGGAAGGGAAGAUAAUCAACACAGGGCAAAAGUCAUAUGGAUAUCAAAGCAGGAAGGACUCAUCUCCAAAGCUAAAAAGGGAACACUGAACCCAGGCCAUCGUUAUGAAAAGACAAAGCCUCAGCUACUAAGCUACAGCACUGGGCAGUUUCCAUUGCUAUUCCCAGAAGUCUAAAGCAGCCAAUUUGAACUUGCAAAGGCUCAAGAUGAUUUUUAAAGCUAUGGCCUAACCCCAAAAUUCCUGUUCGCUGGCUGGCAGAGACCAAGAGAAAGUACUGCCACGUGGUUAUAAAGCCAAGCUCUUAAGGAAAUAAAACAAGAUGAGAGAAAUUCUUCA
rnacentral:lncRNA from 13 species